rnacentral:rRNA from 1 species
CAGCCGCGGUAAUACGAAGGGUGCAAGCGUUACUCGGAAUUACUGGGCGUAAAGCGUGCGUAGGUGGUCGUUUAAGUCCGUUGUGAAAGCCCUGGGCUCAACCUGGGAACUGCAGUGGAUACUGGGCGACUAGAGUGUGGUAGAGGGUAGCGGAAUUCCUGGUGUAGCAGUGAAAUGCGUAGAGAUCAGGAGGAACAUCCAUGGCGAAGGCAGCUACCUGGACCAACACUGACACUGAGGCACGAAAGCGUGGGGAGCAAACAGGGUUAGAUACCCUGGUAGUCCACGCCCUAAACGAUGCGAACUGGAUGUUGGGUGCAAUUUGGCACGCAGUAUCGAAGCUAACGCGUUAAGUUCGCCGCCUGGGGAGUACGGUCGCAAGACUGAAACUCAAAGGAAUUGACGGGGGCCCGCACAAGCGGUGGAGUAUGUGGUUUAAUUCGAUGCAACGCGAAGAACCUUACCUGGCCUUGACAUGUCGAGAACUUUCCAGAGAUGGAUUGGUGCCUUCGGGAACUCGAACGCAGGUGCUGCAUGGCUGUCGCCGGCUCGUGUCGUGAGAUGUUGGGUUAAGUCCCGCAACGAGCGCAACCCUUGUCCUUAGUUUGCCAGCACGUAAUGGGUGGGGAACCUCUAAGGA